rnacentral:rRNA from 1 species
AGCAGUAGCCGCGGUAAUACGUAGGUGGCAAGCGUUGUCCGGAAUUAUUGGGCGUAAAGGGCUCGCAGGCGGUUUCUUAAGUCUGAUGUGAAAGCCCCCGGCUCAACCGGGGAGGGUCAUUGGAAACUGGGAAACUUGAGUGCAGAAGAGGAGAGUGGAAUUCCGCGUGUAGCGGUGAAAUGCGUAGAGAUGUGGAGGAACACCAGUGGCGAAGGCGACUCUCUGGUCUGUAACUGACGCUGAGGAGCGAAAGCGUGGGGAGCGAACAGGAUUAGAUACCCCAGUAGUCCCUGUCUCUUAUAC